rnacentral:tRNA from 1 species
GCCGGCCUAGCUCAACUGGUAGAGCAACCUGACUUGUAAUCAGUAGGUUGGGGGUUCAAGUCCUCUGGCCGGCACCA